AAUGAUACUCCUGCCCGGCCUGCGUCACUGCAUAGGGGGUAGCCCUCUCCGAGAGAUGAGGGGGAAAAGUAGGGUUUCGGUUGAGACAGACCGAGACAGGCUUUU
rnacentral:sRNA from 12 species